GACGAGGGGUCCUAGCGUUGUUCGGAAUUAUUGGGCGUAAAGCGCAUGUAGGUGGCUAUUUAAGUCAGGUGUGAAAUCCCCGGGCUCAACCCGGGAAGUGCAUCUGAUACUGGAUAGCUUGAGUACUGGAGAGGGUAGUGGAAUUCCUGGUGUAGUGGUGAAAUACGUAGAUAUCAGGAGGAACACCUGUGGCGAAGGCGGCUACCUGGCCAUGUACUGACGCUGAGAUGCGAAAGCGUGGGGAGCAAACAGG
rnacentral:rRNA from 1 species